GAAAUGCGAUAAGUAGUGUGAAUUGCAGAAUUCAGUGAAUCAUCGAAUCUUUGAACGCAUAUUGCGCCCUUUGGUAUUCCAAAGGGCAUGCCUGUUCGAGCGUCAUUUGUACCCUCAAGCUUUGCUUGGUGUUGGGCGUCUUGUCUCCAGUUCGCUGGAGACUCGCCUUAAAGUAAUUGGCAGCCGGCCUACUGGUUUCGGAGCGCAGCACAAGUCGCGCUCUCUUCCAGCCAAGGUCAGCAUCCACAAAGCCUUUUUUCAACUUUUGACCUCGGAUCAGGUAGGGAUACCCGCUGAACUUAAGC
rnacentral:misc_RNA from 1 species